CCAGACUACUACGGGAGGCAGCAGUGGGGAAUAUUGGACAAUGGACCGAGAGUCUGAUCCAGCAAUUCUGUGUGCACGAUGAAGUUUUUCGGAAUGUAAAGUGCUUUCAGUUGGGAAGAAAAAAAUGACGGUACCAACAGAAGAAGUGACGGCUAAAUACGUGCCAGCAGCCGCGGUAAUACGUAUGUCACGAGCGUUAUCCGGAUUUAUUGGGCGUAAAGCGCGUCUAGGUGGUUAUGUAAGUCUGAUGUGAAAAUGCAGGGCUCAACUCUGUAUUGCGUUGGAAACUGUAUAACUAGAGUACUGGAGAGGUAAGCGGAACUACAAGUGUAGAGGUGAAAUUCGUAGAUAUUUGUAGGAAUGCCGAUGGGGAAGCCAGCUUACUGGACAGAUACUGACGCUAAAGCGCGAAAGCGUGGGUAGCAAACAGGAUUAGAUACCCUGGUAGUCCACGCUGUAAACGAUGAUUACUAGGUGUUGGGGGUCGAACCUCAGCGCCCAAGCAAACGCGAUAAGUAAUCCGCCUGGGGAGUACGUACGCAAGUAUGAAACUCAAAGGAAUUGACGGGGGCCCGCACAAG
rnacentral:rRNA from 1 species